ensembl:lncRNA
UACAUGUGUUUACUAAUUAUUAUUAACAUUGUAAUUAUUUAAUGGGAUGUACGGAAGAACUUAGUGACUUGAAAAUUUUCUCAUAUUUAUGCAUUUGGUUGUUAUUACAAAGCAACUUUAUUGCAUUCCAAUUUUUAAUGGGAUGCUCAUUUAGCAGUGAUGGUCGGGUCAGGUGCGUGUUUAGCCGAACUAUAUUGUUAUCUUUGCAAAUCAUUGAGCUGUUUUUACCAUACUAACAUGCACCUUUCUGAAAACUCUUUUGUAGGACUUCCUGUUCAUAUUUCACCUGGAUCAAUCUCAAGACAACAUAUUGCUUGUUUGUAGCAAUAAAAAAAUAUAAUAAUAAAAAAGACUUUAGACCAGAGAUUUUUUCUUUGACAGGACAAAGCAAACAAGAUCAAAAACAAUUCAAGGUCUGUUUGAUUAAAUGCGCAUGUACAUGGUAAUGUCCAUGCAGUAAGUUCAUAAUUAUAGGGAAUGAUGAGGGUACAAAUGUUUUUCUCUAUUUUCAGGUAUGCAGCUGGACACAAGGUGUCUUCAGCCCUUGUUCUUGAGAGAAAAGACUGGCAGAGGAUGUGCUGAAAAGAAAGAUUACCUUUGAUUAAUGUUGAAGAAAUAAAUUACAUUUAUUGCAGGUUCAGCAAAGUAAGAAAACAGAUCAUUUAAUACGUUUCAUGUAUGUUUAUUUUUUUAUUAUUUUAUUAUUUUGUAGAUAUAGGAUCUAUCUGGCCAAGAUUUGUAUCAGAAGAGGUCAAGGUCAGUUGGGUUGAGAGUCACAGACAGAGUCUGGCGGCACAAACACUGAUCAGCGAGAGCCAAAGAAGAGCAGCCGGGGGAGAUACUGUUACUGAGCUGGAUGAAGAAAAACAAAUCUGUAUUGAUUUGGCACACGAAGGUAAUAAAUUUAACUGAAUAAUGGAAAUUCGCAGUGUUGUAGUCGAGACCAGCUCAUUCGAGUCCGAGUCAAGAUCGAGUUCAGAGAGAUUGGGUCUGAGACAAGACCUAAAGAAAUCUUCAAGAGUAUGUAAAAUGUUUGGUAGAAACAAUAAAAUUGGUACCAUACUCA